rnacentral:rRNA from 1 species
GAUGAACGCUGGCGGCGUGCUUAACACAUGCAAGUCGAACGGUGAAGGCGGAGCUUGCUCUGCUGGAUCAGUGGCGAACGGGUGAGUAACACGUGAGCAAUCUGCCCCUGACUCUGGGAUAAGCGCUGGAAACGGCGUCUAAUACUGGAUACGAGCUGCGAAGGCAUCUUCAGCAGCUGGAAAGAACUUCGGUCGGGGAUGAGCUCGCGGCCUAUCAGCUUGUUGGUGAGGUAGCGGCUCACCAAGGCGUCGACGGGUAGCCGGCCUGAGAGGGUGACCGGCCACACUGGGACUGAGACACGGCCCAGACUCCUACGGGAGGCAGCAGUGGGGAAUAUUGCACAAUGGGCGAAAGCCUGAUGCAGCAACGCCGCGUGAGGGACGACGGCCUUCGGGUUGUAAACCUCUUUUGGCAGGGAAGAAGCGAGAGUGACGGUACUUGCAGAAAAAGCGCCGGCUAACUACGUG